rnacentral:rRNA from 1 species
UAGGGAAUCUUCCACAAUGGACGCAAGUCUGAUGGAGCAACGCCGCGUGAGUGAAGAAGGUUUUCGGAUCGUAAAACUCUGUUGUUAGAGAAGAACACGAGUGAGAGUAACUGUUCAUUCGAUGACGGUAUCUAACCAGCAAGUCACGGCUAACUACGUGCUAG